rnacentral:rRNA from 1 species
ACGCACGCUGGCGGCGUGCUUAACACAUGCACGUCGAACGGAAAGGCCCUGCUUUUGUGGGGUGCUCGAGUGGCGAACGGGUGAGUAACACGUGAGUAACCUGCCCUUGACUUUGGGAUAACUUCAGGAAACUGGGGCUAAUACCGGAUAGGAGCUCCUGCUGCAUGGUGGGGGUUGGAAAGUUUCGGCGGUUGGGGAUGGACUCGCGGCUUAUCAGCUUGUUGGUGGGGUAGUGGCUUACCAAGGCUUUGACGGGUAGCCGGCCUGAGAGGGUGACCGGCCACAUUGGGACUGAGAUACGGCCCAGACUCCUACGGGAGGCAGCAGUGGGGAAUAUUGCACAAUGGGCGGAAGCCUGAUGCAGCAACGCCGCGUGCGGGAUGACGGCCUUCGGGUUGUAAACCGCUUUCGCCUGUGAUGAAGCGUGAGUGACGGUAAUGGGUAAAGAAGCACCGGCUAACUACGUG